rnacentral:sRNA from 12 species
AAUGGUACUUCUCCGAGAUAACCGGAGCCGGGCAGCGCGGAGGCGCGAACCGGUGAAGCACCGCUUAGGUUGAAAUACGCCUUUGGGGGCUUCA